rnacentral:rRNA from 1 species
GUUGGGUAGGGGAGCGUUCUGUAAGCCUGCGAAGGCGGCCCGUGAGGGCGGCUGGAGGUAUCAGAAGUGCGAAUGCUGACAUAAGUAACGAUAAAGCGGGUGAAAAACCCGCUCGCCGGAAGACCAAGGGUUCCUGUCCAACGUUAAUCGGGGCAGGGUGAGUCGACCCCUAAGGCGAGGCUGAAAAGCGUAGUCGAUGGGAAACAGGUCAAUAUUCCUGUACUGGGCGUGACUGCGAAGGGGGGACGGAGAAAGCUAGGUUCGCCGGGCGACGGUUGUCCCGGUUCAAGCGUGUAGGUGGGGAGGACAGGCAAAUCCGUGCUCUCAUGACACCAAGGCGUGACGACGAGCCACCACGGUGGCGAAGGAAUUGAUGCUCGGCUCCCAGGAAAAGCCUCUAAGCGCCAGGUCACGCGCAAUCGUACCCCAAACCGACACAGGUGGUCAGGUAGAGAAUACCGAGGCGCUUGAGAGAACUCGGGUGAAGGAACUAGGCAAAAUGGUGCCGUAACUUCGGGAGAAGGCACGCUGGCGGUAGGUAAAGGACGUAGCGUCCGGCGCCGAGGCCAGUCGCAGAGACCAGCUGGCUGCAACUGUUUAUUAAAAACACAGCACUGUGCCAACACGAAAGUGGACGUAUACGGUGUGACGCCUGCCCGGUGCCGGAAGGUUAAUUGAUGGGGUUAUCCGUAAGGAGAAGCUCUUGAUCGAAGCCCCGGUAAACGGCGGCCGUAACUAUAACGGUCCUAAGGUAGCGAAAUUCCUUGUCGGGUAAGUUCCGACCUGCACGAAUGGCGUAAUGAUGGCCAGGCUGUCUCCACCCGAGACUCAGUGAAAUUGAACUCGCUGUGAAGAUGCAGUGUACCCGCGGCAAGACGGAAAGACCCCGUGAACCUUUACUAUAGCUUGACACUGAACAUGGAGCCUUGAUGUGUAGGAUAGGUGGGAGGCAAUGAAGUGUGGACGCCAGUCCGCAUGGAGCCGACGUUGAAAUACCACCCUUGAAUGUUCGAUGUUCUAACCUGGGCCCGUAAACCGGGUCGGGGACAGUGUCUGGUGGGUAGUUUGACUGGGGCGGUCUCCUCCCAAAGCGUAACGGAGGAGCACGAAGGUCAGCUAAUCACGGUCGGACAUCGUGAGGUUAGUGCAAAGGCAUAAGCUGGCUUGACUGCGAGAGCGACGGCUCGAGCAGGUGCGAAAGCAGGUCUUAGUGAUCCGGUGGUUCUGAAUGGAAGGGCCAUCGCUCAACGGAUAAAAGGUACUCCGGGGAUAACAGGCUGAUACCGCCCAAGAGUUCAUAUCGACGGCGGUGUUUGGCACCUCGAUGUCGGCUCAUCACAUCCUGGGGCUGAAGUAGGUCCCAAGGGUAUGGCUGUUCGCCAUUUAAAGUGGUACGCGAGCUGGGUUUAGAACGUCGUGAGACAGUUCGGUCCCUAUCUGCCGUGGGCGCUGGAAGAUUGAGAGGGGCUGCUCCUAGUACGAGAGGACCGGAGUGGACGCACCGCUGGUGUUCGGGUUGUCAUGCCAAUGGCAUUGCCCGGUAGCUACGUGCGGAAGAGAUAACCGCUGAAAGCAUCUAAGCGGGAAACUUGCCUCGAGAUGAGUCUUCCCUGAGGCUUAAAGCCUCCUGAAGGGACGUCAGAGACGAUGACGUGGAUAGGUCGGGUGUGUAAGCGCAGCGAUGCGUUGAGCUAACCGAAACUAAUGACCCGUGAGGCUUAACCUUACAACACCUAAGGUGU